rnacentral:lncRNA from 1 species
CCCAUUUGUUGUGGGUCAUUAAUCCCUUUCUCUUCUUCUUCCUAGUAUCAUCCUUGCUUAGCUUGCAGCGGUAUGUUUUUGUAUUUUGUUCUUCACUUAUUUCCCUCAAUUCUUGACUUCCUCCAUUUCAAUGAUGGAGACUUAAUCCGGUGAUGUAGUGGUUGCCUAAGAUAGUUCUUGUAGAGGUGCCUAGUCCUGUGGUCUGGCUCUCAAUUCCUUGAGAGAGAUGAUUUGGUUGGAUAUGUUCCUCCAGUAAGACUUGAUGCUGCAUUUUCUAUGUGGAAUCUAAAAAAGAGUUGGUCGUUGAUUCUUCAGGUUUUUCCUUUCUGAUGAUAUUCUCUAAAGUGACUAAUUUUUUUUAUAAACAGAGAAGUAACAUUUUUGAUCUAGUAAAUUUUGAAUAAUUGAAAAGAAAUCUUCAAUUGUGUAUGAAUAUUGAGCCAAUUUUUUUUUUGUUUCAAAUCUUCUUAAACCCCCAUUUUCAUGAUAUAUACUACUGUUUAAUAUCAUGUAAAAAUGAAAAAGUGUUCCUCUAUGUUGUCAUUUUGUUUUAUUUCUCUAGGUUGUAUUUUCAAAUUAGGUAUUAACG